rnacentral:rRNA from 1 species
AAUAGAUACCCGGGUAGUCCACACCGUAAACGUUGGGCGCUAGGUGUGGGAUCCAUUCCACGGGUUCCGUGCCGUAGCUAACGCAUUAAGCGCCCCGCCUGGGGAGUACGGCCGCAAGGCUAAAACUCAAAGGAAUUGACGAGGGCCCGCACAAGCGGCGGAGCAUGCGGAUUAAUUCGAUGCAACGCGAAGAACCUUACCUGGGUUUGACAUACACCGGAAAGCAUCAGAGAUGGUGCCCCUUUUUGUCGGUGUACAGGUGGUGCAUGGCUGUCGUCAGCUCGUGUCGUGAGAUGUUGGGUUAAGUCCCGCAACGAGCGCAACCCUCGUCCUAUGUUGCCAGCACGCCCUACCAGUUCGGCUGGGGGUGGUGGGGACUCAUGGGAGACUGCCGGGGUCAACUCGGAGGAAGGUGGGGAUGACGUCAAGUCAUCAUGCCCCUUAUGUCCAGGGCUUCACGCAUGCUACAAUGGCCGGUACAGAGGGCUGCGAUCCCGGUGAGGGGGAGCGAAUCCCGUAAAAGCCGGUCUCAGUUCGGAUUGGGGU